rnacentral:tRNA from 1 species
UGAUGUAGCUCAGUAGGUAGAGCGCAUCCUUGGUAAGGAUGAGGUCACCGGUUCGAAUCCGGUCAUCA